rnacentral:rRNA from 1 species
GAUGAACGCUGGCGGCGUGCCUAAUACAUGCAAGUCGAGCGAACAGACGAGGAGCUUGCUCCUCUGACGUUAGCGGCGGACGGGUGAGUAACACGUGGAUAACCUACCUAUAAGACUGGGAUAACUUCGGGAAACCGGAGCUAAUACCGGAUAAUAUAUUGAACCGCAUGGUUCAAUAGUGAAAGACGGUUUUGCUGUCACUUAUAGAUGGAUCCGCGCCGCAUUAGCUAGUUGGUAAGGUAACGGCUUACCAAGGCAACGAUGCGUAGCCGACCUGAGAGGGUGAUCGGCCACACUGGAACUGAGACACGGUCCAGACUCCUACGGGAGGCAGCAGUAGGGAAUCUUCCGCAAAGGGCGAAAGCCUGACGGAGCAACGCCGCGUGAGUGAUGAAGGUCUUCGGAUCGUAAAACUCUGAUAUUAGGGAAGAACAAAUGUGUAAGUAACUAUGCACGUCUUGACGGUACCUAAUCAGAAAGCCACGGCUAACUACGUG